CCGGGUUGAUCCUGCCGGACCCCACUGCUAUCGGGAUAGGACUAAGACAUGCUAGUCAUGCGCUUUCUAGCUAAUAUGAGAGCGCGGCGUACAGCUCAGUAACACGUGGCUAACCUGCCCUUGGACGGGAAUACCUCCGGGAAACUGGGGCUAAUUCCCGAUAGGUGAAGAAUUCUGGAAUGAAUUUUCGCCAAAAGGACAUUUAUGUCAUGCUCAUAGGUGUUGCCCAGGGAUGGGGCCGCGUCCGAUCAGGUAGUUGGUGAGGUAAUGGCUCACCAAGCCUUUUACCGGUGCGGGCCGUGAGAGCGGGAGCCCGGAGAUGGGCACUGAGACAAGGGCCCAGGCCCUACGGGGCGCAGCAGUCGCGAAAACUUUGCAAUACACGAAAGUGUGACAAGGCUAUCCCGAGUGCCAUCCGCUGAGGAAGGCUUUUACCCAGUAUAAAUAGCUGGGAGAAUAAGGAGAGGGCAAGUCUGGUGUCAGCCGCCGCGGUAAUACCAGCUCUCCGAGUAGUGUGGAUGUUUAUUGGGCCUAAAGCAUCCGUAGCUUGCUAUGCAAGUCCCCUGUUAAAUCCACCGAUUUAAUCGUUGGAUUGCGGGGGAUACUGUUUGGCUAGGGGACGGGAGAGGCCGACGGUAUUUCCGGGGUAGGGGUGAAAUCCUAUAAUCCCGGGAAGACCACCAGUGGCGAAGGCUGUCGGCUAGAACGCGCCCGACGGUGAGGGAUGAAAGCUGGGGGAGCGAACCGGAUUAGAUACCCGGGUAGUCCCAGCUGUAAACGAUGCAGGCUAGGUGUUUGGGCGGCCACGAGCCGCUCUAGUGCCGCAGGGAAGCUGUUAAGCCUGCCGCCUGGGGAGUACGGCCGCAAGGCUGAAACUUAAAGGAAUUGGCGGGGGAGCACCACAAGGGGUGAAGC
rnacentral:rRNA from 1 species